rnacentral:rRNA from 1 species
CAGUCGCCGCGGUAAUACGAAGGGGGCUAGCGUUGUUCGGAUUUACUGGGCGUAAAGGGUGCGUAGGCGGACUGAUAAGUCAGGGGUGAAAUCCCAAGGCUCAACCUUGGAACUGCCUUUGAUACUGUUAGUCUUGAGUUCGAGAGAGGUGAGUGGAACUGCGAGUGUAGAGGUGAAAUUCGUAGAUAUUCGCAAGAACACCAGUGGCGAAGGCGGCUCACUGGCUCGAAACUGGCGCUGAGGCACGAAAGCGUGGGGAGCAAACAGGAUUAGAUACCCCUGUAGUCCCUGUCUCUUAUAC